CGAACGGGUGAGUAAUGCGUGACCGACCUGCCCCAUGCUCCGGAAUAGCUCCUGGAAACGGGUGGUAAUGCCGGAUGUUCCACAUGAUCGCAUGUGAUUGUGGUAAAGAUUUCAUCGGCGUGGGAUGGGGUCGCGUCCUAUCAGCUUGUUGGUGAGGUAACGGCUCACCAAGGCUUCGACGGGUAGCCGGCCUGAGAGGGCGACCGGCCACAUUGGGACUGAGAUACGGCCCAG
rnacentral:rRNA from 1 species